rnacentral:rRNA from 1 species
GACGAACCGUGCGAACGUUAUUCGGAAUCACUGGGUUUAAAGGGUGCGUAGGUGGGCAAGUAAGUCAGUGGUGAAAUCUCCGGGCUUAACCCGGAAACUGCCAUUGAUACUAUUUGUCUUGAAUACUGUGGAGGUCAGCGGAAUAUGUCAUGUAGCGGUGAAAUGCUUAGAUAUGACAUAGAACACCAAUUGCGAAGGCAGCUGGCUACACAAAUAUUGACACUGAGGCACGAAAGCGUGGGGAUCAAACAGG